rnacentral:piRNA from 1 species
UAGAAACGAUUCAUUCAAACAGGCUUCCUUU